AUUCUAGUGGAUGGAUCACCACUCCUACCCCCUCCUCCUCUUACAGACUGUGCAUUUACCCUGUUUAGAAAAGUUUAAGUCUUAGCCAGUCAGGAUCAGUUUAGAUUGUGCAGUCCAACCCUAGACACAGGGACAGGAACUGCAUUAGGGAUAAAAACCACUUCUCUCCUUUGUUCAGUGUGCUCUUGCAAUCGUAACUGAUGCAGGCAGCACCCUUCUGCAGAAGCAAAUUGCCUUGCUGAGAAAAAUUUUGCGUAAGUGCUGGUUCUUCCCUGCAGCACCGAGCAUUUGUUUCCAACAAGCCUGGGGGCUCAUCUGGGAUUCCCAUUCUCCUCCAGGGAAGGGUCUCAGAUCACCUCUUGUGGGGAGAUACAUCCAGCUGCCUCAUUGUGGUGGUCUCAGGGGUAAGGAAUCGAGACCCAACCAGCGUGACAAAUAAACAUGGAUCCUCAGCAACAUGGGAAGAAAAGGCCUACAGAUACCGGGGUGACCAGGUAACUCUAUGCACAGACCAAGAACUCUACAACUCCUUUUAAUAUAUUUAAGCCCAUGAAGCGAUCUGUCAACUGGAUUUUUUUCCUUGGAGACCUCUCCAUCCUCCUGCUCUGAUCUGGAAGCAUUGCUCUCUAAGCCUGCUGCAGACUUUCCAAAAACAUCUGUUGAUCAUUGGUUGUCUGUUCAUAAUUAAGAGAGAAAAACUAAAAGCAAUUUGAAGAUUUUAUAACAUGGACAGGAGGGCUUGGGAAAUAGUGAAGAUCCCCUAUUUGGAGUGGGAAAAGAUAUUACCUUGGAUUUGCCCAGUACAAGUUCCUAACAUAUUCUGAAACAUUCCAGAAAUAAGAGGCUGCCUCCAUGAACAUUUUUUUAGCCAGUACUCUUUACGGUAAAAACAAGAAAUUUGGACACACAAAGAAAAGACACCAAGUGCACGAGUACCCAGAAGGACAACCAUGUGAAGAGGCAGUGAGAAGGUGCCACCUGCAAGCCCAGGAGAGAAGUUGCCACCUGCAAGCCCAGGAGAGAAGUUUUGGAAGAAACCACACCUGCUGACACCUUGGUCUCCAACUUCCAGUCCCAGAGUGAGAAGAAAAUAAAUUUCUGUUAUUUUUACCACCCAGUCUGUGAUCAUUUGUUACGGCACGUCUAGCAAACUAAUGUAGUCUUCCAGUAGGCUUUA
rnacentral:lncRNA from 1 species